rnacentral:rRNA from 1 species
AUGGCGCCACCACCUCCAACCCUCCCUCCACCCUACCAUUCCCUCCCCAACGUCCUUUCCCUCCCCCGCCGGCACGCCCGGCUCCCCAUCCGACGCCUCCUCGCAGCGCACGCCCUCGCCGUCGUCGCCGGCCACCUCUCCCUCCCCGACCCCUACACCCACACGCUCCUCCUUGUCGCCUACUCCCGCCUCGAGUGCGCCCGCGGCCCCUACACACUUCUCCUCCUCCUCCGCCUCUCGGUGCCCCCCACCCGCCGCUCCCUCCCUCUCGCUGUCUCCGCUGCCUCCUCCUUACGCCUCCACCUCCCGCUCGCACUCUCCCUUCACGCCGUCGCGGUAACCCGCAACCUCCUCCCGUUCGCGCACGUGGCCAACGCCUUCGUCUCCCUCUACGGCAAGAACGGGCUGCCGGACUCCGCGCGCAGGGUGUUCGACGAAAUGCCCACACCGGACGUCAUCUCGUACAAUGCUCUGAUGGACGGGUACAUCAAGGCUGGGCGACUGGGGCUUGCCAUGAAGGAGUUCCAUCGGAUGCCGCAGCGGGAUGCCGUGUCCUGGGGCACGGUGAUAGCCGGUUGUGCAAAGGUCGGGCAAUGGGAGGAGGCGGUGGCGCUGUUUGACAGGAUGAGAGGUGAGGGAUUGGGACCAGACGAUGUUGCACUGACUGCAGUGCUGUCAUGCUGCGCACAUCUCGGGGCGCUAGAGAAGGGACGGGAGGUCCAUGAGUAUGUGAUGCAAAGCAGGUCCCGGCCGAAUGUGUUCUUGUGCACAGGGCUUGUUGAUCUGUAUGCAAAAUGUGGGUGUGUUGAGGUUGCCCAGGAGGUGUUCGACUGGUGCCCUGUGAGGAAUGUGUUCACCUGGAAUGCGCUCAUCGUCGGGCUGGCAAUGCACGGGCAUGGCACAGUGGCAGUCAAGUACUUCAACCGCAUGCUGGUUGAGGGGGUUCGACCAGACGGAGUCACCUUCUUAGGGGUGUUGAUCGGUUGCAGCCAUGCCGGCCUGGUUGACAUGGCAAAGAGGAUCUUCUCCGAGAUGGAAGGCAGGUAUGGCGUGUCUCGGGAGCUUAAGCAUUAUGGAUGCAUGGCCGACUUGCUUGGUCGAGCCGGGCUCAUUGAGGAAGCAAUGAAGAUGGUCGAGAAGAUGUCGACGAAAGGGGAUGCUUACGUCUGGGGAGGUAUACUCGCUGGUUGUCGAAUGCACGGGAAUGUGGAGGCAGCAGAGGUUGCAGCAAGACAUUUGCUGGAGCUCAAUCCUGAAGACGGCGGGGUAUACUCUGUCCUGGCCGGGAUCUAUGCAGAUGCUGGCAGGUGGGAGGAUGUUGCAAGGGUUAGGAAACUGAUGGAUCAGAGGAUUGGUAGGAGAAAUGUUGGUUGCAGUUCCAUUACAACGGACCAAUAA